GACGAACGCUGGCCGUGCUUAACACAUGCAAGUCUCACGGAAAGGCCCUGCUUUUUUGGGGUGCUCGCGUGGCCAACGGGUGAGUAACACGUGAGUAACCUGCCCUUGACUUUGGGAUAACUUCAUUAAACUGGCGCUAAUACCGGAUAGGUGCUCCUUCUGCAUGGUUGGUGUUGGAGAGUUUCGGCGGUUGGGGAUGGACUCGCGGGUCAUCCGCUAGUUGGUGGGGUAAUGGCUUACCAAGGCUUUGACGCGUAGCCGGCCGGAGAGGGUGAUAGGCCACACGGGAACUGAGACACGGUCCAGACUCCUACGGGAGGCAGCAGGAGGGAAUCUUCCGCAAUGGGCGAAAGCCUGACGGAGCAACGCCGCGUGAGUGAUGAAGGUCUUCGGAUCGUAAAACUCUGUUAUUAGGGAAGAACAAAUGUGUAAGUAACUAUGCACGUCUUGACGGUACCUAAUCAGAAAGCCACGGCUAACUACGUG
rnacentral:rRNA from 1 species